UACGUGAGGGUGCAAGCGUUGAUCCGGAAUUAUUGGGCGUAAAGAGCUCGUAGGCGGUUCUUGUUGCGUCGGACCGUGUGAAAACCCGGGGCUCAACCCCGGGACCUGCAGCCGAUACGGGCAGACUAGAGGUUCGGCAGGGGAGACUGGAAUUCCUGGUGUAGCGGUGAAAUGGCGCAGAUAUCAGGAGGAACACCGGUGGCGAAGGCGGGUCUCUGGGCCGAUACUGACGCUGAGGAGCGAAAGCGUGGGGAGCAACAGG
rnacentral:rRNA from 1 species